rnacentral:lncRNA from 1 species
GGUCCUCUGGAAGAGCAGCCAUUGCUGGUAACCACUGAGCCAUCUCUCCAGCCCCUGAAGAGUGAUCUUUUUAAUGCCAUGUUACCUUUGACACAGGAAAAAGAAAUCUCAAACUUUCUUUGCUCUUAUCUUGUAAUCCUGUCGUGUGUCUUGACUGACAGAUAGCAGCAUGUCUGCCAGACAAAUGGUUUGAGAACUCUGCUAUGAGGACAUCACUUCCCCAGCUAGAAAACUUCGUUCAGUUUUUGUUGCAGUCUGCACGCAAAUUAUCCACAACUGAAUUCAGGAAUGAACUCAAUGGAAUAAUUCUUAUCCUGGUGAAGGUAAAGGCUCUGAGUCAAGCUGAAUCCCUCACAGAGGAGCAUCGCCUGGAGCCCCUCACAGCCCAGACGGCAGGUGUGUGAGCGUGCUGUACAGAGGUCCAUGAUGAGAGUGGACAGCGCCUUUCCUGUAUAUAGAUGACGCCUCCUGUCCGCUGUGCCCACCGUGGCUGUGUGGAAAGCUUCCUGCUGCUGUGUGUCUGAGGGAAGUACAUGCAUGAGGCGGCUGGCGCUCAGUGUGCUUCUCUUUUAUUCUCUCUCAGUCUGAGAAGAUGAUGAGGAAAUCUGACACACAGAAGCAUGCCCCGCGUCAAAACCACCUUCAACAGACUCCAACUGUUUACAAAUCAGCUAAUGAGGGAAAAACUUUCUAUCUCUUGAUUUCUUUUGUCUUAUUCUUUUGUGGAGACUGGGUCUCAUUCUGAAGUGUAAGAAAUUGCUUAUUAAUAUUAAAUGGUUAAUACAUUUUUAUACAAAUUAUCCUUUCAAAAUCUGUACUGAUUGAUUGAUGAACUUAGGUUAAGAGAGCGCGAGUGAGUCUCCAGAUUUUAAUUCAUUGACAAUUUAUUAAGAAAAAAAUUUUUGAAAAGAAGGUAUAUUUUUAUAUGUUUGCUUAUGUAUGUUCCUGGGUUUAGCACUGCGUCCAUGUAGGGGCCAGAAGGCAUUAGAUCUCCUAGAACUGGAUUCCAGGAGGUUGUGGGCCACCUGAUGUGCUGGGAACCAAACCCAGGUCCUCAGAAGGGAUCUUAACCACUGUGCUGUUCUCCAGCCCGUUGAAGAAUGAAGAUGUGUCGGUUUGGGUCACCUAUAAUUCUUUUUGAAGUGUCCAUCUUUUUCUACAGGAAUACUGAUCUUUUGCCUAUGUUCUGACAAGUAGCUUUUCAGAAAACUGACCACUUUUCUUUAAAUUUUGUG